UCAGGGGUGACAGGGAGGGGUCACGGGGGUCAGGAGGGGCUGGGGGCCGGGGGGGCCGGGGGGGUCGGGGGGGGUCCGCCCAGCCGCACCCAGAGCGAUGGCGCAGGGGCAGCCCAGCCCGCGCUCCAGCAGCACUUUGGGCUCGGCGCCGUUCAGCCCAACGCGGCCCAGCAGCGGAACCGAACCGCAGUCCGACCAGAACAGCAGCCUGCGUGACACAGCCGCACCACAACACAAUGACACAACGACACAACGACACAGCGACACAACGACACAACGACACAAUGACACAGCCACACAACGACACAGCCACACAGCCGCACCACAACACAACGACACAACAACACAACGACACAGCGACACAGCGACACAACGACACAACGACACAGCGACACAGCGACACAACGACACAACGCGACAACGACACAGCCACACAACGACACAGCCACACAACGACACAGCCACACAGCCGCACCACAACACAACGACACAACGACACAACGACACAACGACACAGCCACACAGCCGCACCACACAAUGACACAGCGACACAAUGACACAGCGACACAACGACACAAUGACACAACGACACAACGACACAACGACACAGCGACACAACGACACAGCGACACAACGACACAGCCACACAACGACACAGCGACACAGCGACACAACGACACAGCGACACAGCGACACAACGACACAGCCACACGACACAGCCACACAGCUGCACCACACAAUGACACAACGACACAGCGACACAACACGACAACGACACAGCCACACAGCCGCACCACACAAUGACACAGCGACACAAUGACACAACGACACAACGACACAAUGACACGACACAACAACACGACAACAACACAGCCACACAACGACACAAUGACACAACGACACAGCCACACAACAACACAGCCACACAGCCACACAGCCGCACCACACAAUGACACAACGACACAACACAACAACACGACAACGACACAGCCACACAAUGACACAAUGACACAAC
rnacentral:lncRNA from 1 species